rnacentral:rRNA from 1 species
UACAGAGGGGGCAAGCGUUGUUCGGAAUUACUGGGCGUAAAGGGCGCGUAGGCGGCCUGCUAAGUCGAACGUGAAAUCCCUGAGCUCAACUCGGGAACUGCGUCCGAUACUGGCAGGCUUGAAUCCGGGAGAGGGAUGCGGAAUUCCAGGUGUAGCGGUGAAAUGCGUAGAUAUCUGGAGGAACACCGGUGGCGAAGGCGGCAUCCUGGACCGGCAUUGACGCUGAGGCGCGAAAGCCAGGGGAGCAAACGGG